CGUCCCCAGCUCGCCGUCCAAAGCUACACAGGUGGCAGGAGGAGAAAUCGCAGCUCGGCACGUCGUGGAGGAUUGCUGGUGUGUGUCCCUGCACUGCGCCCCACUCUGGCAUGCGGCAGCCACACCGCAGGUCUCCGCUCACAGCUACUAUGCACCCACACGAGCCGCCGUCGCGGUGCGAGCUCUGCCUGGCGGCGCACUGCCGCAACCAGCUUUGCGACACUCACUGCCCACGGUCGACCUGUGAGCCACCUGCACCGCCGUGACGCGCUGCUCGAUCCCCUCCAUGGCCUCGUGCUCGCCGCUGUAGUCUCACGCGAGCCCCGCGCUGGCCAUUGCCAUGGCCGCGGAGUGGGGCAAGACUCGUGGAGGUGCGCAUGGGGGGAGCAUAUUGGCUCACGCUCCUCAAUUCUGGUCGGGUGUCGUUGGAUUGGGCGGCGAAGAUGGCGAAUUCCGGCGCCUCAGGUGCCACAGAGAGUAAUGAGUUCCUGGGUGGAUGCUAAGGAAGUAGAGACGAGGACUUGGAUAUAAUUCGAGGUGCCCGACAUUGUUUUCUAGCAAAAAAGGUGGUGCAGUCAUGCGGCUCUUAUAUUUCGAGAAAUAAAACCUUAUGGUUAUAUUGUAAAUUGGUGCUACGACGUCAGGCAAGUGGUGGAUCCCUCAUCCCUGCAUGAAGUCCCAGUUUAGAUAGUAAUACUAUUUAAAUUAACUCAUGACCAACUGUUAGAAUCUGCCAUUAUAUAUUAAGGUGAAAGGCCCUUGAAUUUUAUGCCUAGUUCACAUAAUGAAUCUUUUGUGCAGGGAUUUCUAGCGACACAUUAUACAAGGAGCUAUGGCAUGCUUGCGCUAGGCCGUUGAUUACAGUGCCUCAUCAAGGUGAAAGGAUUUACUACUUUCACAUGGUUAUAUGGAACAGGUACGUCUCACCGCAUUGGUCCACCAUCAGCAGGUCCACCAUCACUGAUAUCUUCUCUUCAGACACGAGAGCAAGCAGACUCUGUAGGAGAAGCAACCAAGUGAAUAGAAGAGCCCAACAAAUUCUUAUGCAGUAGAUUGGCUAACCCUAAUCAGCAACUCGGAAAAACCUAGUCAAUCUGUUACAUCCCAACCACAGUAGACACAAACCCCAUCUGCAACAUAUACACACGGGAACCAUGAUGUUUAUAAACUGAGCAGUAAGAAUAAGAAUGACAACAAGAUCGGUAAGGAUAUCCCAACCUCAGCCCACACCCGCAAAACAGCAAAGCAACCAUCAUGCUAGUAGCCACUUCUCAACUAUCAUGUUAUUCUUUCUUAUUUAAAUUGGAGCAUCUAUCAAUGGAUUCAAAUUCAAAUGAAGAAAAGCCACCGUUGGCAUCCAGGUUUUUUUUUAGGGUAGCUCAUGGAAAAAUUGAGAAAUAAACUGAAGAUCAAUGCACAAUUAACUCGGGGUAAAAACAAAGAAAAAUAAGGAUACAAAAUAGAGUAGAGAUAAAACGUUCAAACACUUUCCCUCAAAAAUACCUUUCAGAAAGAAAAAUGAAAAUGUACGAAAGGAUCGCUACAUUUUGUAUUCUCAUACUUAGUUAGCAUAUGUGGAAGCCCAACAGGGCAAGCAAAGAUUGAGAAUGCUGAAAUCCUACAAUAGGCGACAAAGUAGAUGAGGAGCUCACCGAAAUAUUUGGCUCGUUGAUCAGGCACACAGCUGCGACAGAGAGCCUCGGCGAUCGUCUGUCAACUAAUAUAGAGUUGACAAGCAAAGAUAAACUGCUCUGAUCAAUUUAAUUGCAUGAAGCACAUUCGGAGUCAGCUCAGUUUAACCACACAUGGCACAUUCAAAUAACAACUUCCAUCUAGAACAAGGGGUAAGCGAUAAGAAAUAAUUAGUUCCAGUAGGCCUUCCUAAACCUCUACCCACCAAACCGUCCUCUGUAAAUAGACAGUAACCGCCACCUAAUCCGCUUAUGAAGCACGGCUGCAGGCACUAUAUUCAUAAUGAGCUGCAGCUGGUACUUAUUACACGCACAUGUUGCAGUGGAUGAAAAACAGGGGACACACAUGUUUUCCCAAGCAGCAAACAGAAGCAAAAUCACCAGCACAAACAUAAGCAAACAAGGACACUUUUUUCACAAGCUAAUGGAACAUGCAGCAAGAAGUAAUCAAGCACAACAGUUAUACCACACCUAACCUUGCUGGCCAGACGUCAACCAACCUGGACAGGAAGGGAAACAAGCAAGUGCUGGCAUGCUCUUCUCAAGAUCAAAACAUUGCAAUUUUUUAAUGUUUGUAGAUGGUCCUUCUAUACUUUACACAUUGCACUUUGACAAUCCAAAAUGUAAUUACAUAUGGAUAUAUCAAAACAAUUAGCCUCUUGAAGAAGCGGAGACCCAUAACAAUUCUUCAUAACAGAAGAGGAUCUCAUUUGUAGAGUGUGCAUCACUAACUUAAUUAAGAAAUAAAGAGUGGAUGUACAUGAGCUCUAAACUGGAACGUGCACAACAUCGGAAAACAAGAAGUAGCACACUGCAAAGAGGAAACCACAUGAGAAAUUGCUAGAUCAUACCUCUGGCACACAGUCCACUUCCGUUUCCUGGCAGUCAGUGAUUUCUUAGUACGGAAAGCUGGAACAAUCGCAGCAUGAGCUGGAUGGCUCCUCCAUCAGUGUCUUGCUAUUUAUGACCAGAGGCAAUUAGACGCAAUACAUAAGGAAGAAGGAUGC